UGUCAGCUGCGGCUGUCAGCUGGCGGCCCUGUUGUUAAAGCGCUUGUGUACUGCAAACCGGACGACCGUGCCGUGAAAACACAGAGCUCCAGCACUGCCAAGUGUUUUCCUACCAGUUUCUGCCCAAUUUGCCGGUUCCGUUUCAAUCAACGCAAACAAAGCGCCAGCACGCGCCCGGCUAUCAAUUCCCGACCAUACACACAUUCAACGCUACCAGCCCAUCGUUUCCAAGCAAGUGUGCUGCCGAUACGUCCUGCUGCCGCCCUCCUAACCUCAACAGGGCGAACAGACAGAAUGUCGCACACCAUCCUGCUGGUGCAGCCGGGGCAGCAUCCGGAAACGCGCACCUACAGCGACUACGAGAGCGUGAACGAGUGCAUGGAGGGGGUGUGCAAGAUCUACGAGGAGCAGCUGAAGCGGCGCAACCCCAACACACCGACCAUCACCUACGACAUUAGCCAGCUUUUCGACUUUGUCGAUCAGCUAAUCGAUCUCAGCUGCCUCGUCUACCAGAAGUCGACCAACACCUACGCGCCCUACAACAAGGAAUGGAUAAAGGAGAAAAUCUACGUCCUGCUGAGGCAGGCGGCCGGCACCAACGCGUAAUGCAAGCUCCUGUUUCUUCUAUUACCCUUUCUCCACACUUUCAUUAUUUUUUCUUUCUUUCUUUCGGGACGGUCAUCUCUCUCUCUCUUUCUGGUGUCAUCCCACACACACUCUUGAAGUAUUGAGCCCAUCCGUUGCGACCCUUUCGGUUACGCAGCGGAAUCCUUUCUUUUUUUUUUUCUUCUUUUUGUUCCAUUUCCCUUCUGCACAAGUUUCGUUCAUUGGAGCAUGUUUUAACAUGAUUAUGCUGUACAGAAAUACCCACAAUCACUGUGAGACACACUGUUCUAGACGGUAGACACACGGGAGAAUGAGAGGAUGGCCAAACCGUACUUAAAUCUGUAGCGUGUAAGCAAAUCUUGAACUAUCAACGCAAGCAAUCCGCAAACCCUCCCACAGAGGGUUAACGUGUUUGUGUGCGUGCGUGUGUGUGCAUCAACGUCAACUUCGUGUAAAAUAAUUACCCAGCCGCCGAUGGAAUGUUGUGCGUUGCAAUUGCGAUUGAAAUCAUUGGUUGAACCACAUGCUGAAACGCAGCAGUUCCGCAAAGCAGUAAUUUAGGUCCACUGUUAGUUUUGCUAUUUACAAACAAUGAUCCGUCUGUCCUGAAGGGUCAUAUCUGUUUAAUGUAUUUCUUAUUUUGCGAGUUACCUGACUGCAUUCAACAACAGGAACGGACAAAUAGAUUUAGUGUUUGGUGUCGUAAAAA